rnacentral:rRNA from 1 species
UCCGACCUCAGAUCGGACGAGAUUACCCGCUGAAUUUAAGCAUAUAACUAAGCGGAGGAAAAGAAACUAACAAGGAUUUCCCCAGUAACGGCGAGUGAAGCGGGAAGAGCCCAGCACCGAAUCCCUCAGUGUCACGCUGACGGGAACUGUGGUGUGUGGGACGCCACCAGUCGCAUCAGAGGGCGCCGAAGUCCUCCUGAUCGGGGCUUCACCCAGAGCGGGUGUAAGGCCUUUGCAGGUGCCUCUCUGUGCGGCCGCGAGCGUCUCACGAGUCGGGUUGUUUGGGAAUGCAGCCCAAAGCGGGUGGUAAACUCCAUCUAACGCUAAAUACUUGCACGAGU